UCCGCGGUAGCUCAAUGGUAGAGCGCCCGACUGUUAAUCGGAUGGUUGCUGGUUCGAGUCCAGCCCGCGGAG
rnacentral:tRNA from 1 species